GUGAGUCAUCGAAUCUUUGAACGCACCUUGCGCCCUUUGGUAAUCCGAGGGGCAUGCCUGUUUGAGUGUCUUGAAGCUCUCAAACUUUUGCUUGAUUGUAAAAGUUUGGAUUUGGGUGUCUUCUGCCGGUCGCAAGAUCGGCUCGCCCUAAAUGCAUUAGCUGGCUUUUGGGUCCGCGACUCGGUGUGAUAAUUGUCACUCGCUGGGUUCGUAGACUUGCUAAGGAAGCUGCUUACAGUCGUCCCUCUACGGGACAACUCAUCUAAGUGUUUGACCUCAAAUCAGGUAGGACUACCCGCU
rnacentral:misc_RNA from 1 species